rnacentral:rRNA from 1 species
GACGUAGGGCGCGAGCGUUGUCCGGAUUUAUUGGGCGUAAAGAGCUCGUAGGUGGUUUGUCGCGUUGUCCGUGAAAACUCACAACUCAAUUGUGGGCGUGCGGGCGAUACGGGCAGACUGGAGUACUGCAGGGGAGACUGGAAUUCCUGGUGUAGCGGUGAAAUGCGCAGAUAUCAGGAGGAACACCGGUGGCGAAGGCGGUUCUCUGGGCCUUACCUGACACUGAGGAGCGAAAGCGUGGGGAGCGAACAGG